AUACGUAGGUGGCAAGCGUUGUCCGGAAUUAUUGGGCGUAAAGCGCGCGCAGGUGGUUCCUUAAGUCUGAUGUGAAAGCCCCCGGCUCAACCGGGGAGGGUCAUUGGAAACUGGGGAACUUGAGUGCAGAAGAGGAUAGUGGAAUUCCAAGUGUAGCGGUGAAAUGCGUAGAGAUUUGGAGGAACACCAGUGGCGAAGGCGACUGUCUGGUCUGUAACUGACACUGAGGCGCGAAAGCGUGGGGAGCAAACAGGAUUAGAUACCCUGGUAGUCCACGCCGUAAACGAUGAGUGCUAAGUGUUGGGGGGUUUCCGCCCCUCAGUGCUGCAGCUAACGCAUUAAGCACUCCGCCUGGGGAGUACGGUCGCAAGACUGGAACUCAAAUGAAUUGACGGGG
rnacentral:rRNA from 1 species